AUGGCUGAUCCUUGGCAGGAAUGCUUGGAUUAUGCUGUAACCCUAGCAAGACAAGCUGGAGAGGUGGUUUGUGAAGCUAUAAAAAAAUGAAAAGAAUGUUAUGCUAAAAAGUUCUCCAGCUGAUUUGGUUACUGUUACUGACCAAAAAGUUGAAAAGGUGCUUAUUUCGUCCAUAAAGGAAAAGUAUCCUUCUCACAGUUUCAUUGGUGAGGAGUCUGUGGCAGCUGUGGAAAAAUGUGUCUUAACUGACAACCCCACGUGGAUCAUUGACCCUAUUGAUGGAAUAACCAACUUUGUACAUAGAUUUCCUUUUGUAGUUGUUUCGAUUGGCUUUGUUGUAAAUAAAAAGAUAGAAUUUAGAGUUGUGUACAGUUGUGUGGAAGAUAAGAUGUACACUGCCAGGAAAGAAAAAGGUGCCUUUUGUAAUGGUCAAAAACUACAGGUUUCAAAACAAGAAGAUAUUACCAAAUCACUCUUGGUGACUGAGUUGGGCUCUUGCAGAACACCAGAGACUGUCAGAAUUAUUCUUUCUAAUAUGGAAAGGCUGUUUUGCAUUCCUGUUCAUGGGAUCCGGAGUGUUGGAACAGCAGCUGUCAAUAUGUGCCUUGUGGCAACUGGAGGAGCCGAUGCAUACUUUGAAAUGGGAAUUCACUGCUGGGAUGUUGCAGGAGCUGGAAUUAUUGUUACUGAAGCUGGCAGAGUGCUACUGGAUGUUACAGGUGGACCAUUUGAUUUGAUGUCAUGAAGGGUAAUUGCUGCAAGUAGUAGAACAUUAGCAGAAAGGACAGCCAAAGAAAUUCAGGUUGUACCUUUACGACGAGAUGAUGAAGAAUAA